rnacentral:misc_RNA from 1 species
GGAUGGUUAGGGUUUGAUGAAUUUCCUUGAAUUACAGUAAUAUGCUAGCUGCCCUUGACAUGAAUUGAGUAAUUGAACAUUGAAUUGUAAAUUUAGUGCAUGAAUUGAAAUUUGAGAAUUUGUGGUUUUGAGCAAAAUUAGGGUUUUGCUCAUGUGAUGGUUGAACAUUUUAAAGGUCAAUUAGUGUCCAUUUGGUAAGGUUGAACCAUAAAAUGAGACAAAUUGUGGCUUUGGAUAUUGAAAUGUGUAGGUUGCUUUUUGUGAUCAAUUCUGGACCACUAGAGUCUAGUGUGUUUGAAGAGCCUUAACUGAAUUUGUGUAGCUCCAAUUAGUGCAAGGCCAAUUGGAGGUGAAAAUAGACAUAUAAUGCAGCUUUUUUGGUAAAGAAAUCAUACUCAGAAAACCAACUUAAGUUGCCUUAAAAAUUGACCUAAUCCGGAUAACACACAUGCUGCCAU